ensembl:lncRNA
UAUCGGCUCCCUGGUGGUCACUGGGAGAUUUCGCGACUUGGGCAUAACAGGCUGAGUGCCAAAGAACUGAUACUUCCUAAUUGUGGUGCUGGAGAAGACUCUUGCGGGUCCUCUGGACUGCAAGAAGAUGAAACCAGUCAAUUCUGAAGGAAAUCAACCCUGAAGAUUCACUGGAAGGACUGAUGGUAAAGCUGAAGCUCCAAUAUCUCGGCUACCUGACGCCAAGAGCCGACUCACUGGAACAGACACUGAUGCUGGGAAAGACUGAAGGUAAGAGGAGAAGGGGGCAACAGAGGAUGUGAUGGUUAGAGAAUAUCACCAACUCAACAAACCUGAGUUUUGAGCAGACUCCAGUAGGUAGUGAAGGACAGGGAAGCCUGGCAUGCUGCAGUUUAUGGGGUGGCAGUCAGACCCAACUAAGUAACACGAGGUACGUACAGGCCCAACUUCCUUCUUCUGUGGUUGGAUAUUCAUUUGUCUCAGCACCACGGUUCUGCUGUCUUGGAACUGCCUUAUUCCCUGAGGUAUUUACACCACAGAGCAAAUGCAUCAGGGUAAGAAAGCAAGAACAGGACAAGAGUUAAGCCAUUUGCAAAAUGGAAAAGGGGAAUGGUAGAAAGCAACGUAGCAAAGAAGAAACUGCUUGAAAGACCAAUUCACAGGAAGGUCAACUUUAGGAAAGAGCAUAAAGGAAGUUUAGGGUCUGUAAAUUAAUUCACUUGAAAUUAUCCAUGUGUGUGAGUACCUGUAGGAGUUUCUGUAACCACCCUAGGCCCAAGAUCAAUGUUUAAAUACUGCUCUGUAAUACUGUCUCCUAAGCUUCAGGGGGGAAACAUAUAGUUUGUGAACAACUUUUUAUAUUUUAACGGUGUGAGUAAUAAAAUGAGAUGGGACUCAGGAUGAAGGCAGUGCUAUGAGGAGGCCUAUAGGCGUUUCACACAUUCAGCCAAGCAGAAAAGUUCACAUUCCCCAUUUUACAUGAAACAUAUCUGGCUCAAUAUGCAUUAAUGGGGCAGAAUUCAAGUUUUAUUUCAUAAACAAGAAAGCACUAAGAAACUCUGCAGGACCCCACUCGUCUACUCAUCUUAUGCCCAGGUUCCCUCAAAACAAACUCCACCUAGACCAUGGAUAUAGAAUGCCAUCACUAAAUAGAAAUUUUAAGGGUCAAACCCUUAGAUCCACGGUAUACCACUAGAAAGUGAAGUCGCUCAGUCCU